GUCACUUGAACUUGGUUUGGGUGGCGGAGGGUGAGUUACGCGUAAAGAACUUCCUCACAGAUAGGGACAACAUUUGAAACGAAUGCUAAUACCUGAUAUUAUGAUUUUAGGGCAUCCUAGAAUUAUGAAAGCUAUAUGCGCUGUGAGAGAGCUUUGCGUCCCAUUAGCUAGUUGGAGAGGGUAACGGCUCACCAAGGCGAUGAUGGGUAGCCGGCCUGAGAGGGUGAUCGGCCACAAAGGGGACUGAGACACGGCCCUUACUCCUACGGGAGGCAGCAGUGGGGAAUAUUGGACAAUGGACCAAGAGUCUGAUCCAGCAAUUCUGUGUGCACGAUGAAGUUUUUCGGAAUGUAAAGUGCUUUCAGUUGGGAAGAAAAAAAUGACGGUACCAACAGAAGAAGUGACGGCUAAAUACGUGCCAGCAGCCGCGGUAAUACGUAUGUCACAAGCGUUAUCCGGAUUUAUUGGGCGUAAAGCGCGUCUAGGUGGUUAUGUAAGUCUGAUGUGAAAAUGCAGGGCUCAACUCUGUAUUGCGUUGGAAACUGUGUAACUAGAGUACUGGAGAGGUAAGCGGAACUACAAGUGUAGAGGUGAAAUUCGUAGAUAUUUGUAGGAAUGCCGAUGGGGAAGCCAGCUUACUGGACAGAUACUGACGCUGAAGCGCGAAAGCGUGGGUAGCAAACAGG
rnacentral:rRNA from 1 species